AGCAGCCGCGGUAAUUCCAGCUCCAAUAGCGUAUAUUAAAGUUGUUGCAGUUAAAAAGCUCGUAGUUGAAUUUCGGGGUCAGUAGGUCGGUCGUGCCACUGGUAUGAACUGGUUUUACUGAUUCCUCCCUCUUGAAGAACUGUAAUGCCAUUAAUUUGGUGUUGCAGGGAAUCAGGACUGUUACUUUGAAAAAAUUAGAGUGUUUAAAGCAGGCUUUAGCUUGAAUACAUUAGCAUGGAAUAAUGAAAUAGGACGUUUGAUCCUAUUUUGUUGGUCUAUUUUGUUGGUUUCUAGGAUUGACGUAAUGAUUAAUAGGGAUAGUUGGGGGCAUUAGUAUUCAAUUGUCAGAGGUGAAAUUCUUGGAUUUAUUGAAGACUAACUACUGCGAAAGCAUUUGCCAAGGAUGUUUUCAUUAAUCAAGAACGAAAGUUAGGGGAUCGAAGACGAUCAGAUACCGUCGUAGUCUUAACCAUAAACUAUGCCGACUAGGGAUCGGAUGAUGUUAAUUUUUUAAUGACUCAUUCGGCGCCUUACG
rnacentral:rRNA from 1 species